rnacentral:rRNA from 1 species
GGCAAACGGGUGCGGAACACGUACGCAACUUACCCAAAACUGGGGAAUAGCCCGGGGAAACCGGGAUUAAUACCUCGUAAGAUAAUGAAGUGGCAUCACUUUAUUAUUAUAGCUCCGGCGGUUUUGGAUGGGCGUGCGACUGAUUAGGUAGUUGGCGGGGUAACGGCCCACCAAGCCUACGAUCAGUAACUGGUGUGAGAGCACGACCAGUCACACGGGCACUGAGACACGGGCCCGACUCCUACGGGAGGCAGCAGUAAGGAAUAUUGGUCAAUGGACGCAAGUCUGAACCAGCCAUGCCGCGUGAAGGAUGAAGGUCCUCUGGAUUGUAAACUUCUUUUAUAUGGGAAGAAACCCACUUUUUCUUGAGUGGUUGACGGUACCAUAGGAAUAAGCACCGGCUAACUCCGUGCCAGCAGCCGCGGUAAUACGGAGGGUGCAAGCGUUAUCCGGAUUCACUGGGUUUAAAGGGUGCGUAGGAGGGCAGGUAAGUCAGUGGUGAAAUCUCCAAGCUUAACUUGGAAACUGCCGUUGAUACUAUCUGUCUUGAAUACCGUGGAGGUGAGCGGAAUAUGUCAUGUAGCGGUGAAA